GACGAACUGUCCAAACGUUAUUCGGAAUCACUGGGCUUAAAGGGUGCGUAGGCGGCGCGGUAAGUUGGGUGUGAAAUCCCUCGGCUCAACCGAGGAACUGCGCCCAAAACUACCGUGCUUGAGGAAGAUAGAGGUGAGCGGAACUUAGGGUGGAGCGGUGAAAUGCGUUGAUAUCCUAAGGAACACCGGUGGCGAAAGCGGCUCACUGGAUCUUUUCUGACGCUGAGGCGCGAAAGCCAGGGGAGCAAACGGG
rnacentral:rRNA from 1 species